rnacentral:rRNA from 1 species
GUUUCCCUAGGGAGGCAGCAGUGAGGAAUAUUGGUCAAUGGGCGCGAGCCUGAACCAGCCAAGUCGCGUGAGGGAUGACGGUCCUACGGAUUGUAAACCUCUUUUGCCGGGGAGCAAGCGUGCGUUCGUGAACGCGCGUCGAGAGUACCCGGAGAAAAAGCAUCGGCUAACUCCGUGCCAGCAGCCGCGGUAAUACGGAGGAUGCGAGCGUUAUCCGGAUUUAUUGGGUUUAAAGGGUGCGUAGGCGGGAUGUCAGGUCAGCGGUAAAAAUGCGGGGCUCAACGCCGUCGAGCCGUUGAAACUGG